rnacentral:rRNA from 1 species
AGUAACGCGUGAGCAAUCUGCCCAUAUCAGGGGAAUAACAGUUAGAAAUGACUGCUAAUACCGCAUAGGACCACGGGGAGGCAUCUCUCUGAGGUGAAAGAUUUAUCGGAUAUGGAUGAGCUCGCGUCCCAUUAGGUAGUUGGUGAGGUAACGGCCCACCAAGCCGACGAUGGGUAGCCGGCCUUAGAGGGUGAUCGGCCACAUUGGAACUGAGACACGGUCCAAACUCCUACGGGAGGCAGCAG